rnacentral:rRNA from 1 species
AUUGAACGCUGGCGGCAGGCCUAACACAUGCAAGUCGAGCGGAGCGGCGGACGGGUGAGUAAUGCCUAGGAAUCUGCCUGGUAGUGGGGGAUAACGUCCGGAAACGGGCGCUAAUACCGCAUACUAUCAGAUGAGCCUAGGUCGGAUUAGCUAGUUGGUGGGGUAAAGGCCUACCAAGGCGACGAUCCGUAACUGGUCUGAGAGGAUGAUCAGUCAAACUGGAACUGAGAAACGGUCCAGACUCCGACGGGAGGCAGCAGUGGGGAAUAUUGGGCAAGGGGCGAGAGCCUGAUCCAGCAAUGCCGCGUGUGUGAAGAAGGUCUUCGGAUUGUAAAGCACUUUAACUUGGGAGGCGUUACCAACAGAAUAAGCACCGGCUAACUCCGUGCCAGCAGCCGCGGUAAUUC